rnacentral:tRNA from 2 species
GACUCAGUAGCUCAGCUGGAUAGAGUGUUUGACUACGAAUCAAAAGGUCGGGGGUUCGAAUCCCUCCUGGGUCACCA